UACGGAGGGGGUUAGCGUUGUUCGGAAUUACUGGGCGUAAAGCGCGCGUAGGCGGAUCAGAAAGUUGGGGGUGAAAUCCCGAGGCUCAACCCCGGAAUUGCCUUCAAAACUCCUGGUCUUGAGUUCGAGAGAGGUGAGUGGAAUUCCGAGUGUAGAGGUGAAAUUCGUAGAUAUUCGGAGGAACACCAGUGGCGAAGGCGGCUCACUGGCUCGAAACUGACGCUGUGGGGCGAGAGCGUGGGGAGCAAACAGG
rnacentral:rRNA from 1 species